rnacentral:lncRNA from 1 species
GUGAAAUCAGAAGCCUUAAAGGUGAGGUGAAAGGGUUUGGAUAGAAUCCUGAAGGGGUAAGAGGAAAUCAUUUUUUAGCCAAGGAAUAAUGUGAAUGAAAAGAUAUUUUGGAGAAUCAGUCUGAUAGUGGAGUAGAGUGAAUCAGAUAGUGGAAUGUAUACCUUCUGCAAGUGACAAAUGAAGUCCUAAACUGAAGAAUAUCCUUGUUUUUGUCUUUUUUAUAGUUUACUGAUUAAGGCAAUAUAAAUUUACCAUGACUUAAACACCCAAGGAGUGUCUGAUUAGAGUAAAGAUUUUUACUCUAAAUUGAACGAGGCAGAGGCUGUCUGCCUACUUUUCUC